rnacentral:tRNA from 1 species
GGUCCCUUAGUGGAACUGGUUAACACGUCUCCCUCUCAAGGAGAAGAAUAGGAGUUCGAGCCUCCUAGGGAUCACCA